CCUACGGGUGGCAGCAGUGGGGAAUAUUGCACAAUGGGGGAAACCCUGAUGCAGCGACGCCGCGUGAGUGAAGAAGUAAUUCGUUACGUAAAGCUCUAUCAGCAGGGAAGAAAUACUGACCUUACGGUCAGCAGACGGUACCUGAGUAAGAAGCCCCGGCUAACUACGUGCCAGCAGUCGCGGUAAUACGCAGGGGGCAAGCGUUAUCCGGAUUUACUGGGUGGAAAGGGAGCGUAGACGGUGCGCCAAGUCUGAAGUGAAAUGCCGCAGCUUAACUGCGGAACUGCUUUGGAAACUGGCGAACUAGAGUGCGGGAGGGGUAGGCGGAAUUCCUGGUGUAGCGGUGAAAUACGUAGAUAUUAAGAGGAACACCGGUGGCGAAGGCGGCUUACUGGACCGUAACUGACGUUGAGGCUCGAAAGCGUGGGGAGCAAACAGGAUUAGAUACCCCAGUAGUC
rnacentral:rRNA from 1 species